UACGUAGGGGGCGAGCGUUAUCCGGAAUUACUGGGUGUAAAGGGUGCGUAGGCGGCAUGGUAAGUCAGAUGUGAAAACUUGGAGCUCAACUUCAAGAUUGCAUCUGAAACUGCUAAGCUAGAGUGCAGGAGAGGAAAGUGGAAUUCCGAGUGUAGCGGUGAAAUGCGUAGAGAUUCGGAGGAACACCAGUAGCGAAGGCGGCGAUCUGGGCUGACAUUGACGCUGAGGUGCGAAAGCGUGGGGAGCAAAC
rnacentral:rRNA from 1 species